GCCAGAGCCAUAACUCCCUGCAGUUCUCGCCUGGUUUCCCACUGAUUCUAAGCAGGGUUGAACCUGGCCAGUACCUGGAUCGGAGUCUUCCUGGGGAAAACUAAGGGUGCUGCUGGAA
rnacentral:rRNA from 1 species